rnacentral:rRNA from 3 species
GACAUCAGGAGGUUAGUGCAAUGGCAUAAGCCAGCUUGACUGCGAGCGUGACGGCGCGAGCAGGUGCGAAAGCAGGUCAUAGUGAUCCGGUGGUUCUGAAUGGAAGGGCCAUCGCUCAACGGAUAAAAGGUACUCCGGGGAUAACAGGCUGAUACCGCCCAAGAGUUCAUAUCGACGGCGGUGUUUGGCACCUCGAUGUCGGCUCAUCACAUCCUGGGGCUGAAGUAGGUCCCAAGGGUAUGGCUGUUCGCCAUUUAAAGUGGUACGCGAGCUGGGUUUAGAACGUCGUGAGACAGUUCGGUCCCUAUCUGCCGUGGGCGCUGGAGAACUGAGGGGGGCUGCUCCUAGUACGAGAGGACCGGAGUGGACGCAUCACUGGUGUUCGGGUUGUCAUGCCAAUGGCACUGCCCGGUAGCUAAAUGCGGAAGAGAUAAGUGCUGAAAGCAUCUAAGCACGAAACUUGCCCCGAGAUGAGUUCUCCCUGAGACUUAAAGUCUCCUGAAGGAACGUUGAAGACGACGACGUUGAUAGGCCGGGUGUGUAAGCGCAGCGAUGCGUUGAGCUAACCGGUACUAAUGAACCGUGAGGCUUAACCUUACAACGCCGAAG